GCUGAACCACUUCUGUUGUGAAACUUAAUUUAUGUACCAGCAUGCACAUCACAAGUCCAGCUCAGUCAGUGCUGUGCAAGGGCAGCGGCAUCAUCCCCACAAGGUGCUUCCCUAUUAAAGAAAACACAGAAAAUACUGAAAUUGUCACAACUGAGGUGGUUGUUACUCGGAUCAGGGACAGAAACCCUGGGCCACGGGGCGGGUGCUGUCAUGGUCCUGCCCCAGCAGGGGCAUUUUGGCACGUCCCAGGGAUGCGGUGCGAUGGUGCGUGGGGGCUCUCUGCAGGGAGGGGAGGUCACUCUUCUCCCCUAGACCCCUGUGCACAGAGCAAAGCCUGGGGAGGUGUUUUCUGAGCAGGGACUGGUUUUCCUGGCUUCGUGAAGGAAGAAUCCAUGGGAGCAAGCCGUGCGCGUCCCCUUCCUUUCCCACCGCAGGCCUCCGGUGGAAAAUCCACACGAGGCAUCUGGAGAUGUGGAGGAUUUGCACUGCAACGCUUGGUGAGGUUCCUGCGGGGAGGAGCAGUCACGUAGUGCAGCUACAGAGGCACAAAAUGUGAAGCAUUCGUGUCGUUUUGGUACUGGCUCUGAAAAGCGUGUCAAAACAGAUGGGUAUGUGGUUGACGGAAAGCGCGCUGCUUUUUAGUCAGUCAUGGAUCCCUUCUUUUUGCAGAAGACUGAAAAAAAAAUAUAUUUUCGUAAUUUAAUAUAGCAAUAUAUCGCGGUUAUAACAUUUCAUUUAUCCCUAGACUAAUGGGGAACGCGCUACAUGUAUUCCAGCCACGGCGCAAGUUUUCCUUAAGUGCUUAUAUAUGAGCUCCCUUCCAACGUCCCUCUACAGGAGAUUUAGUUUUCAUAUUAACUCCUUGCAGGAUCCUUUAUGAGCAGUGACUGUCAAACUGUGCUUGUCUGUGCAUUUGUGCAUGCUGAUAUUGUUCUCAUUUAGACAAACUUCAGCUCCCACCUCAAUCUUGUUUUUCCCCAUGUCGUUUUUUUUUCCCUAAUAUAUCAACAGUUGUUUUAGGCUUGUUUUGAAAAAACAGCCUACAGUGUUUUAGACAAACCAAGCCAAAUUGGAGCAAUAAGUAUUAAAAGAUACGCACAGGGCACAAACAAAAGAAUUCCCCAAAUGCAUUUUACUGAUUUUCUUCCUGCUUUUUUAAUAUAAUAUUUGUGGGCCAACUGUGGCAAUAACUGAUAAUUUUAAUGCAAGAUGACAUAAUUCCAGUUCAGCAAUUCUUCAGAGAGAAAUUACCCUGAGAACUUCUUUCCAUUUUGUCUUAAUUUUAUAUAUAUAAAAAAAAAAAAAAAAAAAAUGAGAUUCUCAAUGUAAGGAAAACAAUUUGAAACAACAAGUUUUGAAACUCAUUUAAAUAUUUCAUCCCUCUUCCACUUCCAAAUACACUUUCCUGGCAGGUUCUUGCUUUUCCAUCUCCAGCUCUUGAGGUUUACCAUCUUUCUCACUGAGAGAGACUAACCUCAAGUUUUAUUCAGCACCCACUGAACUCUUGGCAGAAGAUCCCUACCACGACAUGAAGGAUCUUGCUCGCUUUUUCUGUGGGCCUGACUUAGCAGCACCGGUUCUGUCGGAAGGUCAAUUGUUCGGUCAGGACAGUAUUUCGAAAUGAGAAUUUGCAUUUGGAAACGCACCGGGGUCAUUAAGUUUUGCUAUUUUCUCUCUUUUUUUUUUUUUUUUUCUUCCCUCUCUCUGUCUGGAAGGGAAAACAAACAUUGUUUCUUCAGAAUGGAGGUGACUAUGUCAGCUAGAAGAUAGCUUUGGAGGCAUUUAUAUUUAGCAUUUAUAUUGGUGGCAUUUAUAUUUAUAUAUAUAAAUAUAUAUAUUUAAAUGGCAGUAGCAAAUCAGCCCUCAUUUUGGAAUAAAUAUGGUCUCCCAAAGGGAGCUUGUUUACCUGUUGGGGUGGCUACACAUUUUCAGCUCUUUGAUUGGAUGAUGAAGACCAUGUUAGCAGAAAGAUGUGUUUUUGCGGCUGCUUUCAGGGCAGUUGUGCUUCUCCUGAGGCUGCAAGGCAGGACAUGACCUGUAGUUCCUCCAGGAGAAGACUGCGUCUGUCCUUCCCCAUGCUGGUCCCUGGGUCCUGAUGAGCUCUCUCCAGUCACAGAAAAGCCAGAAAAAGCAGAAAAAGUCAGAGCAAGAUUCUUCCAUUUUUAAAGGAUUUAUUUUUUUGUCUUUUUUUCCUCCUUUCACCACAAACUUGGCCCUUCCACAUUCAUCCCAGACACUGUUGCUGGUGGCAGACCCACCUUCCAUGCAUGUGCCCACCUCUUAGGGAAGGGUAUUUCAGGCAGGGCGUUGGAGGUCACCCCCCCUCUGUCACAGCAUGUGUCCUCAUCUCAUCUCAAGUACGGCCACCAACAUCUCCCUCCCUCCCUGCUGCCCUAUGCUUUGCUGUGCCCUUGAUGCACCUCCGUGGUCGUUAAUCUUGAAUGCUCCCUGUGAUGACAUCUCCGAGGUUAAGUCAUGGGAAGUGCAGUGUUACUCAGCUUAGUUAAAUUUAGUGUAAUUCGCAUCUGCAAAGCCUCUGCAAAUUAGUGCUUAGUCUUAAAUUGCUGGUUUCCACGCUACGGGCACUUCAAGUAUCAAACACCAAGUCCUGAUGUGUUAUGAAUUAGGCCAUGGAAGCCUGAAGUCCAUGAGACGCACGCCAGAAAAACUCAAGUUUCUGAGUGUUUCUGAGGCAAAUAUGCAAUUAAUUUAGUUUGAGACACUAAACAGCUGGGAUGGCACCCGAACAGAGCAUUCCUUCCCCUUCGUUUGCGGUUCCAGCCCAGAUGCUGGGGGUGGCCACGGUGGUUUUGAGCCGUGGUGCUCACCCAGAGCUGUGGAUCCCGGCCACACACUUCACAUCACGGGGCUGUGAUGGGUGCAGGCCUGUAUCGAUUACCGGGACUUGCAGGAGAGAAAAAAUCUUUGCGCUUCAGAUUGGUUAUAAAUUAUAAAUAGCAUCUCUAAAGGCUGUGAGUUACAGAAACAGCAUUCCUCGGAGACAGUCGUAUGUAAAGCUGCCGUAGGAGAGGCUAUUAAAUUUAUGGUUGCAGCACAGCUGUACUUGACCCACAACAACGAUCAUUGCCCAUUAAAUCUCGCGGUCUGGGUUCAGUCCCUUGCCUUUCUCAAGAAUGUUCAUUAGCAAUGACCAGCAAAGGUCAUGCUUACAUAAGAAGGUCGACGCUGCCUGUAUCAGUGUGAAUUCACUGGUGAAACGGCACCGUCUUCUUCCCACCGCAGCAAUCUUUUCACAGGUUUUCUCCCAUAGAGUUUUGUUUGUUUGCUUUUUUGUAAUUACUUGGUAAAAUUCAAAUUUUAACAGAAUGAACAGGGAACCUGGCCAUAACUCCAAAACUUGAAUUUUAAACUCUCUUUUGUUAUGCUUUGUUUGUAUUCUGGUAGCCCAGCUCUAUUUUCCAGGCAUUUUACAAGCACAGAUGUGUUUCCUUUCCAUGAAGUCACUAAAAACUGUACUAAAUUUCCCAUGAAACCAUCAUUCUCACCUAGAAGACUGACUGCUCAUUCGUCGUCCCAUUCAGGGUAGGGCUGCUGUAUUUCUGUGGAUGUGCCCUCAUUUUUCUGUCUCACCACUAUCCCCGAGUGCUAGGUGCAGCCUAUAUCCAUGUUUUUUUUAAAAACCUGGCAAAACCGUGUCUCAGGCUCUGUUUUCCAGUGAGAUGUUUUCCAGGAGAAGGUCUGAGUGAGAACAGUUUGAAAGA